UACGGAGGGUGCAAGCGUUAUCCGGAUUUACUGGGUUUAAAGGGUGUGUAGGCGGACUUUUAAGUCCGUGGUGAAAUCUCCGGGCUCAACCCGGAAACUGCCAUGGAUACUAUUUGUCUUGAAUAUUGUUGAGGUGGGCGGAACGGGUCAUGUAGCGGUGAAAUGCAUAGAUAUGACCCGGAACACCGAUUGCGAAGGCAGCCCACUAAGCAAUGAUUGA
rnacentral:rRNA from 1 species